rnacentral:tRNA from 1 species
GCCCCCAUAGCACAAUGGAUAGUGUACGAGCCUCCGAAGCUUGGGAUGCAGGUUCGAUUCCUGCUGGGGGCA